rnacentral:rRNA from 1 species
UACAGAGGGGGCAAGCGUUGUUCGGAAUUACUGGGCGUAAAGGGCGCGUAGGUGGCCUUCUAAGUUGAACGUGAAAUCCCUGGGCUCAACCCAGGAACUGCGUCCAAGACUGGGAGGCUUGAAUCCGGGAGAGGGAUGCGGAAUUCCAGGUGUAGCGGUGAAAUGCGUAGAUAUCGGGAGGAACACCUGUGGCGAAAGCGGCGCACUGGACCACAACUGACGCUGAGGCGCGAAAGCUAGGGGAGCAAACAGG